ACGGAAGGCAGCAGUAGGGAAUCUUCCACAAUGGGCGAAAGCCUGAUGGAGCAAUGCCGCGUGUGUGAUGAAGGGUUUCGGCUCGUAAAACACUGUUAUAAGAGAAGAAUGACAUUGCGAGUAACUGUUCAAUGCGUGACGGUAUCUUACCACAAAGGAACGGCUAAAUACGUGCCAGCAGCCGCUGUAAUACGUAUGUUCCAAGCGUUAUCCGGAUUUAUUGGGCGUAAAGCGAGCGCAGACGGUUAUUUAAGUCUGAAGAGAAAGCACUGUGCACAACUGAGGAAUUGCUUUGGAAACUGGAUGACUUGAGUGCAGUAGAGGAAAGUGGAACUCCAUGUGUAGCGGUGAAAUGCGUAGAUAUAUGGCAGAACACCAGUGGCGAAGGCGGCUUUCUGGACUGUAACUGACGUUGAGGCUCGAAAGUGUGGGUAGCAAACAGGAUUAGAUCCCCUGGUA
rnacentral:rRNA from 1 species